rnacentral:tRNA from 1 species
AUUUAUUUAGUUUAUUUAAAACAGCAGUUUGUGAUACUGAAAACAGAGCCCAAUUCAAGCCCUAAUAAAUG